rnacentral:rRNA from 1 species
GACGAACGCUGGCGGCGUGCUUAACACAUGCAAGUCGAACGAUGAAGACCGGUGCUUGCACUGGUUGGAUUAGUGGCGAACGGGUGAGUAAUACGUGAGUAACCUGCCUUUGACUCUGGGAUAAGCCUUGGAAACGAGGUCUAAUACCGGAUACGACUAACCUUCGCAUGAAGUGUUAGUGGAAAGGGUUUGUACUGGUUUUAGAUGGGCUCACGGCCUAUCAGCUUGUUGGUGAGGUAAUGGCUCACCAAGGCGACGACGGGUAGCCGGCCUGAGAGGGUGACCGGCCACACUGGGACUGAGACACGGCCCAGACUCCUACGGGAGGCAGCAGUGGGGAAUAUUGCACAAUGGGCGCAAGCCUGAUGCAGCGACGCCGCGUGAGGGAUGACGGCCUUCGGGUUGUAAACCUCUUUCAGCAGGGGAGAAGCGAAAGUGACGGUACCUGCAGAAGAAGCGCCGGCUAACUACGUGCCAGCAGCCGCGGUAAUACGUAGGGCGCGAGCGUUGUCCGGAAUUAUUGGGCGUAAAGAGCUUGUAGGCGGUUUGUCGCGUCUGCUGUGAAAGCCCGGGGCUUAACUCCGGGUUUGCAGUGGGUACGGGCUAACUAGAGUGCAGUAGGGGAGACUGGAAUUCCUGGUGUAGCGGUGGAAUGCGCAGAUAUCAGGAGGAACACCGAUGGCGAAGGCAGGUCUCUGGGCUGUAACUGACGCUGAGAAGCGAAAGCAUGGGGAGCGAACAGGAUUAGAUACCCUGGUAGUCCAUGCCGUAAACGUUGGGCACUAGGUGUGGGGGACAUUCCACGUUUUCCGCGCCGUAGUUAACGCAUUAAGUGCCCCGCCUGGGGAGUACGGCCCGCAAGGCUAAAACUCAAAGAAAUUGGCGGGGGCCCGCACAAGCGGCGGAGCAUGCGGAUUAAUUCGAUGCAACGCGAAGAACCUUACCCAGGCGUUGACAUAUACUGGACUCCCCUACAGAUAGGGUCUCCCUUCGGGGCUGGUAUACAGGUGGUGCAUGUCUGUCGUCAGCUCCUGUCGUGAGAUGUUGGGUUAAAUCCUCGCAACGAGCGCAACCCUUCUUUCUAUGUUGCCAGCACGUGAUGGUGGGGAGUCAUAGGAGACUGCCGGGGUCAACUCGGAGGAAGGUGGGGAGGACGUCAAAUCAUCAUGCCCCUUAUGUCUUGGGCUUCACGCAUGCUACAAUGGCCGGUACAAAGGGUUGCGAUAGCUGUGAGGUGGAGCUAAUCCCAAAAAGCCGGUCUCAGUUCGGAUGGGGGUCUGCAACUCGACCCCAUGAAGUCGGAGGCGGUAGUAAUCGCAGAUCAGCAACGCUGCGGUGAAUACGUUCCCGGGCCU